UACAGAGGUGCUCAAGCGUUGUUCGGAUUCAUUGGGCGUAAAGGGUGUGUAGGUGGCGCCGUAAGUCGGGUGUGAAAUUUCGGAGCUUAACUCCGAAACUGCAUUCGAUACUGCCGUGCUUGAGGACUGGAGAGGAGACUGGAAUUUACGGUGUAGCGGUGAAAUGCGUAGAUAUCGUAAGGAAGACCAGUGGCGAAGGCGGGUCUCUGGACAGUUCCUGACGCUGAGGCACGAAGGCCAGGGGGAGCAAACGG
rnacentral:rRNA from 1 species